rnacentral:rRNA from 1 species
GACGAACGCUGGCGGCGUGCUUAACACAUGCAAGUCGAACGGAAAGGCCCUGCUUUUGUGGGGUGCUCGAGUGGCGAACGGGUGAGUAACACGUGAGUAACCUGCCCUUGACUUUGGGAUAACUUCAGGAAACUGGGGCUAAUACCGGAUAGGAGCUCCUGCUGCAUGGUGGGGGUUGGAAAGUUUCGGCGGUUGGGGAUGGACUCGCGGCUUAUCAGCUUGUUGGUGGGGUAGUGGCUUACCAAGGCUUUGACGGGUAGCCGGCCUGAGAGGGUGACCGGCCACAUUGGGACUGCGACACGGCCCCGACUCCUACGGGAGGCAGCAGUGGUGACUAUUGCACACUGGGCGGAAGCCUGAUGCAGCCACGCCGCGUGCGGGAUGACGGCCUUCGGGUUGUAAACCGCUUUCGCCUGUGACGAAGCGUGAGUGACGGUAAUGGGUACAGAAGCACCGGCUAACUCCGUG